rnacentral:rRNA from 1 species
GCAAGUCGAGCGCACUCUUCGGAGUGAGCGGCGGACGGGUUAGUAACGCGUGGGAACAUACCCUUCUCUACGGAAUAGCCUCGGGAAACUGAGAGUAAUACCUUAUACGCCCUUCGGGGGAAAGAUUUAUCGGAAUUGGAUUAGCCCGCGUUAGAUUAGAUAGUUGGUGGGGUAACGGCCUACCAAGUCGACGAUCUAUAGCUGGUUUGAGAGGAUGAUC